rfam:Lupinus angustifolius cultivar Tanjil contig_22031, whole genome shotgun sequence.
CCAGCGGUGAUGAGCCUCUAACAUAUAAGAAGAAUCCUAUUUGGUUUUUUCAAUGAAAUACACAUGUUACGCUUGGCUUCUGAGCUUA